CCUCAGCUCUCCGCAACUAGAGAAAGCCCUCGCACAGAAAGGAAGACGCAGCACAGCCAAAAAAAAAGUAAAAAAAAUAAAUAAAAAAAAAGAAUGGGUUUUGAGGACAUUAAUGGGGAAUCUUUCCUCUGCCUAACCAUCUUUGCUCUUGCCCCAUUUUCCUUCGAGGAAUCUUGAUCCUGUGUGACUUGCCUCCCCCUAUACCGAGCUCACCUACCUUUUGAAGAGUAAUUGAUUCCAUUCCUGCCGGACAGCCUGAGAUCUGGCUCGCCCAGGGUCCUGCACUGAGCAGAUGGUCCUGCGGUGUGGGCUCUAUGCAGGGAAAUGACGGGUCAGCAGCAGGUGGUCAGCACCACCAAGAGCACCCCAGCUCUCUCAACAGUAGCCCUCAGAGAACCCAGCUCCAGAGCAUAAGCUGCUACCCAGGGAAGAAUUGCAUGGUAAGCAGAUGCUGUCAAAGAAGAUUCCUGAGUCCUGCUUUAUCUGGUGAAAGAGGCAGCAACUCCAGGAGAAGACUGGAGAGAACUGGCCUGAGGAGGGGAUCUUAGAAGAGUCCAUAUCCCCAUAACUCACCUUGCAGUAUCGUGUUUGUUCCUCUGGGGUCAACCAGAGUGACCAUGCUUUCCCUGCUGUACCUUCUUCGCUAGGAUCAGGUAGCCCACAGGUCGGAGAAGUGAAUGUGAGACUGGAUGGCGAGAUCAGCCACUAAUGGGAAUGGCAUUGAGCUGUUACCUCUUCCUGUGUCACAUUUGCAGUGGGGCCCUUCUGCAGAACCACGUAAAAUGCAUCACAGGAUGUCCUCCCUGGAAGGACAGGAGUCCAAGGAUUCACCCACCAACUCCAUCCACCCCAUUGGUUGAGACUUCUUUUUGUGUCCUCACUGAGCCAUGACUACGGAGACUGUGCACCUAGAGCCUGUGCUCCACAACAAGAGAAGCCACCUCAAUGAGAAGCCUGUGCACUGCAGCGAAGAGUAGCCCCCGCUCGCCACAACUAGAGAAAGCCCACGUGCGGCAAUGACCCAAUGCAGCCAAAAAUAAAUAAAUAUAUCUGCCAAGUUAGGGUUUUGGGGCUCAUGUACUCCUUUGAGAAUCCAAAGAAAGUUAUGAAACCUCUUCUCAGAAGAGGAGCCCAUCAUGCACAAAUGUAAUUUUGUAUUAAAUUCCGUGGGUUUCUAGAUCCCACUAAAAUCCAUCGCUGGAUCCCAUACAAGACGAUCUCUAAUGAGUUUUUUUUUUUAAUGGAGUAAAGACAUUACUUACUGCAAAGAAGAAAGUGUGCAUUUAAAAGUGAAAUCCACUUUUCAAGGAGAAAACAUCUGGGAACAGUGUACAUCCUUGGACCUCUGUAGGGAAUCUCUGUACUCUUUUGGCUAGAAUGGAUUUUGGAGCCUCAUAACUGAAAGUUCCAAUCCCAACUCCACAACUUGUCAGAUUUGUGUUUGGCCACAGACAAGACAAAUCGUUCAGAUUUAAAUUCUUCUUUCUCUUUCUGAAGGCCUUCCAACACCCCUGGGCUUGGAGGUGGGGCUGCUUCUGAGUUACCUCGGAGCAUACGUUAUAUCAUCAGACUCACCUUCUCAUCUGAGCUCCUUGAGGGCUGAGAUGGUGUCUUUAUCUUUGCAUCUCCAGUCCCUAACAAUUUUUGAAUUGAGUUGAAUGGAAAUGUUAGUUAUUUUCCUCCUCAGCCUCUGACAGGGAGCAUUAGAAUUGAACAACAACCAUAUUAAUUUCCUUGGAUCCUUUUGCUUGCUGUUUUUCACUUGUUUUCCCAAUACACGUAAUUUAGAGCUAUUAUACCUGUCUGCUUCUACCCUAUUAGGCUCGACAGGUGACAUAUGGGAAGAGAUAGGGCAUGUGAAUAUGGAGGAAUGGAAUUAACUUGAUGGACAGUCCCUUUCUUUCCAGUAAAAGCAGCUCUUUUCUCAUUGUUCAUUGACCUUGGAAUAAUGGAUUGUGAACAGGGAAUCAACAUCUUUUAUUACAGCGCAUUUACUAGGCCCAACCAAAGAGUCUAAAGCUUUCUGCAAAAAUGUGCAUUUAGGGGAAUGUUCACAACUGGCUCCUGCCAACUUCUCUGCCUUUCAAUCCCUCUCUAACCCUCAGUGAAUGGAGGGUCGAUGCACAGUUCCUAGGUGAGAACAACAUAAAGAAUUACUGAGUUGGAACUAGAAUGCCCAGGGAAGAAGUCUUAUGAGCUCAGUUUGUUUCAUGCAUCAAACCUCUGAAAGCUGCUUGGCUUUUGUAACGAGAAAAGCAGUGAAUUUGGAAAUGAGUUUGAAUGCCUGUCUGUCUUGUUUAUAAAUGAAUAAACCAGGACUCAGGCAGGUUAAAUAACCUUCCCAGGGUCACCCGCCUAGUAAGGGUUAAUAUUUAUUUCCUGUAAAGGCUGUUGGGAGGAGAAAAGUAUAUAAGGUAUAUACAACAUCUAACAGAGUGCUGGCUCCCAGGAGCGCCUAACACCUUUUUGAACACCUAGGAACUGGAAAGAUUGGUCCUACAAUGUCCCUUUUCAGAUUUUAUGUGUUUCCCCUAAAAUGGAUGUCUUGCCACUCUUACCCGCAUUUCUCACAUUUCCACACAUAGAAGGGAUUUUCUGCUCUGUUCCCCAGAAAUGUAUGAGGAACACCUCCAGCUCUUCCCCUUGACCUUCAUCCUUGCCCAGAGGAGGAAGAGAGCCAGUCCUGUCAUGUUUAGGGUGAGAACUGAGCGUGUUUGGUCACUAUCCUGAUGCACAUUGUUUUCUGAUUCACCUUUGCCCACAGACGCAUACCUUCUGCUUCUUCUUGCCGGGCCCUUACAGGGUCAGACUCAUCCUGGACGAGAAGACCGUAUUCAUCCAGGACAGUCAGGGACUCGGGGUCCGGUCUCUAUAUCAUGUCAAACAUCAGGAGGCCCAUUGUGACCACACAUAUGAAGCACAGUCUCCCAUCUAGUGGUGUCAGUGGUGAAGCUGACGUGUUUCACACCCUCUGUCUGACUUCUGUGCUGUCUGUCAGUUGGUUCCAAGUUUGGGAGUGGAUAAAAGGGGUUUAGGAAGGCCAAUUAAUAACACUAGUAUCUUGAUUCAAAGUCCCCUCAAAGCCAGGGACUUUGAGAUGAAAAUUCUGGUGGCUGGGAAUGUAGUAAGGAGCGAGGUCAAGGCUUUGGGCUUAGCCAGGGUGUAAGACCUUAGAUUUUAAUACAAUAGCAGCUGGUGGGACAGAGAGCUUAUUUCUCCAUUGCUCACAAGUGAGCAGCUGUUUUUAUCUGAUCAACUCAUUGCCCAG